rnacentral:lncRNA from 1 species
AAACCGAGGACCUUUUGUUUGAUUGAUUGAUUGAUGUUGCUGCUUUAUUAUUCUCUGAAACCUAAAGCCUAAAGUAGUCUAAAAGAGGAUGAGUUUUCCUUCUUCUACCGCAUUUUUUUCUGAUGUAGGAGGAGCACUGUGUUCUAGGGAGAAAGAAAAGAAUUGUUCGCGGAGUGAAGGAAUAAUAAAAUGUGACGUGUGGAAGAAAGAAAACACAGCUGAGAGGCCCUGUGGCUGAGUGUGCUGAACAAUAGACAACCUCGAAGGAGUCUCGCCUGCAGUCCUGGCCCUGCCAUCAAUUCACUGUGCGCCUUUGGAAUUUUUCCAACCAUGUAAGGUUGUAAUGUUAAAUUCCCAUUCAAGAUCAAAAUUUCACAUAUUUACAACCUGCAAAUAUCCAAAAUUCACACUUCAACAUCUGUGUGGCUGCCAACUUCUGCUGCAAUCUAUAUCAUGCUUUUUCAGAAAUGGAAGGGGAAAAAAACCUUGAGUACCCAUGAACAGCCAGAUUCCUCUGCUCAUCGGCUUUACCAUCUGUGUUAUUUCUUCAUCGGUAUUCCGGAAGUAAACAAAGAAGGCAAUAGGUAUUGCAGGAAAUUCAGUAGGAUGGGAGGCCGCUCAGACACAUGA